UACGCCUUAAUAUAUGCUGUAUAUUAAUUUUUGAUAUUAAAUGGAAUAGUUAAAAUCUAUUAGGUGUAA
rnacentral:tRNA from 1 species